GAUAUUACCUCUCAAAAAUUCGGCCCUUUGGUGAAAAUUGGGGUUUUGAGAGUUUCUACCUCCAUUGAAGCUUGAGGAGCCAUCAAUCCUUGGUUGUGUGACCAUUGGUGGAUUGAGACAUUUGGACCAACCGUGAGUGAUCAACCAUUGGAGCAAGCUAUGGAGCUUGAAUAGCUCAUUGGAAUUGGUGUAUGUUUGUAAAAGUUGAUUGCUGAAACUGUUGGUGAAGAACAAAGGUUGACUGAAGCAUUGAGGUAAGGAUGCUGCAGGAGCCUCUGGUGGCAAGUGGCCAUACCUAGAUUAUGCAUGAAAUAUGGCACUUCUUUGAGUUUAUGCAUGCCUUUUGUAGUUGACAUGUAUAGGAUUUUAUUUUGAAAGCCCAUGAUCAUAUGUAUAUCUUGAUUCAUUGGAUGAACUUAGCCUAUGCUCAUGCCUUUG